UUACUUUUUGAGCUCUUCCCAAAAAUGGCAACGGGACAACUGUUUUCUCGGACCACACAAGCUCUGUUCUACAACUAUAAGCAGCUCCAUGUUCAACGAAUGCUCGAUUUCUGAUUUCCUCUGUGGACGUGAAACGCCUUCUGUAAAAAAAAAAAAAAAAAAAAAAAACGCCUUCUGUUGCUGGAAUCAUCAACCCUGGCUCUGAAGGGUUUCAGAAGCUCUUCUUCGGACAGGAGGAGAUCGCUAUCCCUGUCCAUGCCGCGUAAGUAUUAUAUAGAAUCUGAGAGAAACUUUACUAUAUGUUUUUGAACUUGUUUUUUAUGAAUGGGAAGCUGAACAAAAAGUGGUUCGCCAGCUUGUGUGGAGCAUCCACUCCCAAAUUGCCAUUCACCAAAACAAAAUAAUUGUGUGAGUACAACUAUCAAAAUAAUAAUAUAAAAUUCUGAUCCACAAACAGUCUAAUUUAAAGAGCAAAUAUGAAGAUCCGCUAGGAACAGUAUAAACACUCCUCAUUUGAAGUGUUUUGUGCGGUCUAUCUAUAUUUUUUGUUUUAUUUAUAUUCUAAAAUAUUAUAAAAUUCUAGUUGUGUAAGAAUUUUGUUAUAUAAGCUAAAUCUAUUACAUAAUUUUAUGUUUUAUAUUAAGUUCAUUAUAUUAUUUUCUAUGAUAUUUUAUUUAUUUGAUUUAAAAGUUUUAUAUGUCGGUUCACUAGGGACGGACAACCGACAUGUGGGCCGAUAACGUAGGCUGCUAACAUAUAACUAGUCUGGAUCCACUUCGAUGGGAGCCAUGAUUUCUCUGUAUAAUUUAAUUUUUUUUUUUAAUUAUGUAAAAUUGCAAAUUUAAAUUAGUUUCAGUCAUAUAAGUGUCGAAAAAAUCAGUCUUACACAAAAUAAGAACUUAUAUAAUAUAUUAAAUAUUCGUAUUCAAAAUUCUAUUCUAAUUUAUGUUUUUAUUUUUAAUUCUAAAAUCUACGUGUACGAAACCGGCAAACUUUUGAAUAAUUUAGAUGGUACCCAAACCUAAAUUGAAACACGGAAAUAUCCAAACAAAAAUUUAUUAAUAUACGAAUGAAAUUUAAAUCUCUAACCUGGAAACUUGAAAUUCGAGUAGAACAGAACCGAAUCUAAAUGGGUAUCCAAACGCCCACUCUAAUUAUAUUACUUUAUCAAAAACAUAAUUAUUUUUAAUUCAUUUAAAGUUAGAUAUAAAUUUUAUUUUACAACUCAAUCUAUAUAUAUAUAUAUAUGUGUGUGUGUGUGUGUGUUUAAAAUAAUUUGUAUUAUAUUUUGAAUAAAAUUUAUAUAACUUAUUUUUUUAAAAUAAAUACUUUGAAUUAUAAAAUUACAUAAUAAUAUAAAUUAUUUUAAAUAUAUACAGUAUUUUGAACCAUUUUUUAUCCACUUUCACCAUUCAUACAUAUGUUUUAGACCGCUAGAUCCGCUUGAUCCACUCUUGUACUGCUAGAUCUGCUCGAUCCGCUCUUGUUUCACUCGAUCCGCUUGAUCCGCUAGAUACGCAACGCUAGAUCCGCUCUUUCCAUUCAAAGCCUUUGUUUAUACAACAGCAUUGAGGCAGCCUGUGUUGCUCUAAAAACCGCGGAUGUAUUCAUCAACUUCGCAUCUUUUAGGAGGUUUGUAUUAACAAAACUUACCAUUGUCUCUUUGUGAUACUUUUGUUGAUCGGUUCGGAUUUUGGUUAGUUUGGUUCAGAAUUUUGGUUAACUUAUUGCUCGGUUUAAGUUUGAAGUUUUAAUUUUAGAACUUAUUUUAGAAUUUUUAGAAUUUUUUAAUUUUUAUUUUCUUUUUUAAAUUUGACAUUUUAAUUUUAGAUCUUAUUUUAUUUUCAAGUUUGAAAUUUUAAUUUUAAUUUUUUUUGAAUUUUUUAGAUUUUUUUUUUUUUUUUUUUUUACAAUUUUUUUCUAAUCUCAUUCGAUUUUUUUGUAUUAUUAUUUUUUUAUUUAAAAAAAAAGAAACCGACACGUUAUUAUUUUAACCUAUAAAAUAAAUAGUACCGGUCGUAUAUGAAAAAAAAACAUCUCUAAAGAUUUAUUAUGAUAAAAAUGCAACUUUGAAGAUUUAAAGUGAUAGUCAAAAAACUUCAAUAUUUAAAGUGCUAGAAAAUUACACUUUCGGUGUUUAAAAUGUGAUUUUCUCUAUCUAAAUUGGUUAUUGGGUGACGUGAGUGGCUGUUUUUCAUACUUUUAUCAAUUAUAUUAUAAUGUUUUGAAUACUAUAAAAACUAAGAAAAUAAAAUAAAAUAGAAUUCAUAUGAUUCGAUGGGUCUGUUUCUGUUAAAUUCCUUCUCUGUAAUCGGUGUUUUGAAACUCGACCCGAACCCGCGGUUGAACCGGUAAAUCCGGUGAUCCAGAAAAAAUCUGGUUUGGGUUUUGUGAAAAACCCAAAAUUUAGAAACCCGCAAAAAACUACUCAAACUCAGAACUUGAUACCGGUUGAACCACCGAUUAAAUCAAUAAAUAACUUUUACUUUUUUUUUUUUAGUUUUUAGAUAAAAAGUUAGGUUUUCCUUUUUCAGUUUUAUAUUUUUAUUAGAUUUUCAUGAAGAUUUCAUUAUGCCACCAGAAAAAAAAUGAAAUGAACAAUGAUAGAGAGAAUCAAAAUUAGCUGAUAUGAUUUGAUGUUAAUUUAUUUCUGUUAUUGACAAUUUAUUACAAUGAUCUUUUAUUUUUGGUUUAUUUUGAAUUUGAAGUUUAUUUAUCAUUCACAUUAGACAUUAAUAUUUUCAAUCUCAAGUUCCAACUUUUUAAAAUUUUCAUCUCUAUUUUGAUUUUCUUCAUUCAAAAUAUAUUUGUUUUCUUUUAAAAGCUUAAAGUAUGAAUGAUUAUGUUCACUUAUUUAAAUAUUUAUGAAUAUUAUAUCUUGAUUUUUUAGAUGUCAUAACUCUUAUUUUGUUACAAAAAUUUUUAAAUAGUCUAAAUAAUUUUUUGAUAUCUUUUUAUGUCAAAGGAAAAUAAAAAUAUAAAAACUAAAAUUUAGUAAUUUUAAAUACUUUUUAAACAUAAAAUAUAUACAUAUCCAAACUAUUAUUUUAUGUUUUAAAAACAUUUAAAAAAUAUUAAACUUUAGUUUUUAUAUAUUUAUAAGUAAAAUAUUAUUAUAUAAUAAAAUUAAUUUAUUUAUUAAUCUGCAGUUCAUCCGCAGUCGAUCCAGUGAUCCGGUAAGUCGUUCGGUGGGGGUUUAAAAACAUUGUCUGUAAUUGAUUAUGACAUUUAUUUGCCAUGUCAGUAUCGCAAUCCACGUCAAUUCGUGCUAAUCGACCCAAACAAAUCAUUUUCGUUCAGAAAAUAGUACCCAAGACGGAUUCGUAUCUAGUUCAUUUUUUUUUUUGGUAAAAUUUUUAAAAAAGGUGUUUUCACCUCUUUGCCGGGAACCCAAGCAAUGUAAAUAAUCCUUCCCAGCGCGAAUGACUCUCGUUUAUAUCUUAAAGUUUCAGACUGGCCAGAAUAUUAUAUGAAGACUUGUACUAACGAGUAAAAAACAUUUUGAAUAGAUCUAACCACACAAUACAUAUAUGGCCAUAUAUAAAACUAUGUUUUGAAGAGGCUAAUCUUUCUCAAAUUUGAUAAUUCAAUCGGUGGUUACACAUAAAAGUUAAUAUUUCGAAACUCAACAUGACUUUUUGAUUGAUGCACGUUACAUGAUAUGCAGCGAUAUAGAUGACUAGAUGUGGUUGAUAUAGAGUUCAUCUUUAUCCAUACAAAAACAAUAGCAUUGAUGAAUGAGUAAUAUCUAUAUAUCUGAAAUAAAUUUAAGAUAUUAUAUAUGUGAAUUACAAAAUAACGAAAAUGAAAAAGAUAGUUUCAGGAUAAAAAGGUUUGUGGUUUGCUUGGAGCCACCGAGCCACUGCCAACUAACAAUAUCUGUUUAUAUACAUUCCCCUGUUCAUAUGCUCGUAUAUGCAUGCACAUCUCUUCAUAUAAAGCCAUUCUCACACGUAUUAUUGUAUAGGAUUAAUGUGUUGAUUAAAUUGGCAACGUAGCGUGUCUUUGAUGCAAGAAUGCGUCUACUUGUUUCCAACCUUCCAAUGAUAUUACACUCUAUCCACACAACUCAUCGCAUUUAAUCAUACUAUCUAUAUAUUUUACAAGCAUCAAAAUUGUAGUUUUUUUUUCUAAAAUCUUUGAGCUCAUAUACUAAGUUAUAGUUAUAAAACGAGUAUACUGAUCGGUGUUGCCAUUGCCAUUUGUGCUUUAUCUAUAGAAGUUUAAUACAGUUGUUUAGGAAAAAAUAAUUGUAAGGCUGGACCAAAUAAGCCUAAUUUGAUGACGAAACGUAAAUUAUGAUCCUAUCCAUAAGCCAUCAAAAAGACCUACAUGAUAUAGUGCUUCUUUAUUCUGUUUGCUUAAUACUUAAUCAAUAGCGCAAUCUUAUAAACAUUUGAAAGAACUAACCUGGAGGAUUUUAGUAAAACAAAAAUGACUAUAAUCGUUCAAAAGCCAGAGUUGCAUAUAAGAUACAGAUAUAUCACAAUAAAAAUUUACAUGUUGGAGAAUUUAGAGAAAUAGGUCUGGUCAUCAACUUGGAUGAAUUUAGCCUCGUUUAACUAUUGGAUUACGUCUCACUUUCACAAAGUUGCUCGUCUAUUAUUUGUGUCAUGAAAAUAUUAACAAAAAUAUUUGCAUUAACAAAAGAAAUCUAAUCUAUUAGGCUACAUGAGCUCAUAACGAAAAAGACAACGACCAAAUCCCAAAUAGAACCAUGGUUCCUUAACAUUACGUUCAUAUAACAAAAAGAAAACAAAUAUCAUGAUUAUUCAACAAGUGAUAGCAUAAGGAAAACAUAAACAUGGUUUUCAGCGAAGUUUUAAGUAAAUCUUAAAGGAGGGUGAUGACACAACAUGUCAUAAAUAAAAUUUUGGUUCAUCAUAUGGAGCUAAUCAAAUGUCCUUCCAAUGCAUAUUUCAACAAUAAAAGGCAUUUUGACAAAAAAGCGAUCAUAUA